UGAGAAGGGUAAGGAUUAAAACUGGGGUAAUCCGACGUACCUCCCAUCGAAUACCCGUGGUAUGGUGAAAAAGGUGGGUACUGGGGUGGUAGAACGAACCCCGAGGCCUGAGUGCCUCCCUGAGACUCACCCAUGCCCUCUUAUGGCAUGCUUACACCAAGGUUACCGUCCCUCCUCUGCUCCACAUCCAUCUCUUUUUCUCCAUCAACUGACAUUCUUUCCUGAACUGUACCCCUUACUGAUCUGCUUCUACCCAGAUCCAAGGACCUUCUAGGGUCCCUCACUGCUCUGUCCCUGUUGGACCUGCUUGACAUUGCCCUUGGCAAUGCUGGAGGACGGGCGCUCGUGCCCUCAUCCUCCGGUGGUACUCUAGUCAAUCUAGCCGAUCGACGAGUUCCUCGCAUUCUGUUUACUGAAAAACAGCACCGAUAACAAAACAUUAGCAUCAAAUGGUUCAUGUGGAAACACAUGAACCCUCAUCACAUACAUAUCACAUAACAUGGCAUAUUAUACUUUCAUGCAAGACAGGACUCUACAUCCUAUCCUAGUGGACAUGAUUUCCUAUUGUGCUUGACCUUUCUAUCAC
rnacentral:lncRNA from 1 species